rnacentral:sRNA from 1 species
CUUUCUUUUUCAAAAGGAACGUUGAACCACGUUAUCAGAAAACAUUUAAGGGGGAAUUUUGAACCACCGCUUCAAAGCGAAUGUCCACAAAAUUGGUGCAUGCAUGUUAAAGGUCAGGAUAUACCUCCAUCUACCUUGCAUGUUGACCUAACCUACCUAACGUUGCAUGUAUUACUCUUCUGUUGCCAAGAGGAAAUAAUGUUGUUCAUCUGAACAAAAGAUUACAUCGGAGUUGGACCAAAGUCUAUUCAUAAAACAUAACUUUUUUAUGUUAAAUGCCAUUUAUGUUACUAAAAAAAACAACAUUUUAUUGUCCAUGAAUGAUUGUAAUUGUAAUCAUUAUAUUUUAGUUAAUACAUUCUCUUGGUUAUC